rnacentral:rRNA from 1 species
AUUGAGAGUUUGAUCCUGGCUCAGGAUGAACGCUGGCGGCGUGUCUAAGGCAUGCAAGUCGAAUGGGUUUAGACCCNNNNNNNNCCUACCUCGAAGUUCAGAAUAACCCUCCGAAAGGAGGAAUAAUACUGGAUGUGUUCACCAGACGAAUGUCUGGUGAGUAAAGAUUUAUCGCUUCGAGAGGGACCUAUGUCUUAUCAGCUUGUUGGUAGUGUAACGGACUACCAAGGCUAUGACGAGUAGCGGGUGUGAGAGCACGACCCGCCUCACUGGGACUGAGACACUGCCCAGACUCCUACGGGAGGCUGCAGUCAAGAAUAUUCCACAAUGGACGAAAGUCUGAUGGAGCGACGCCGCGUGAUUGAUGAAGCCCUUCGGGGUGUAAAGAUCUUUUAUUAGGGAAGAACUUUUGACGGUACCUAAUGAAUAAGGGGUUGCUAACUCUGUGCCAGCAGCAGCGGUAAUACAGAGACCCCGAGCGUUAUCCGGA